AAAUGGAAAGAUAGAGGGUAGAGAAAAAGGAAGAGAGCAGGCUAGGCUUAGUGGAGCACAUUGUUUGGAGAGAAUUGUUCUACUGAGAGUGGAGAUAAAGUGGUGCACCUGACAAGAUCUAGAUGACCACCAGUAACUUCAAUCUCCAUAAAAUUGCUGGUUCUCAGCGUUACUGAGAAGUAGUCAUAUUAACCUCAAAUUUGGUGUUUGGAGAUGAAGUCCCCCAAACUACACUUGCACCCCGAUGUUUAUAGCAGCAAUGUCCACAAUAGCCAAACUGUGGAAGGAGCCUCAGUGUCCAUUGAAAGAUGAAUGGAUAAAGAAGAUGUGGUUUAUGUA